rnacentral:lncRNA from 1 species
ACGAGGUCAGGAGAUCGAGACCAUCCUGGCUAACACGGUGAAACCCAGUCUCUACUAAAAAUACCAAAAAAUUAGCCAGGCGUGGUGGCGGGCGCCUAUAGUCCCAGCCACUCGGGAGGCUGAGGCAGGAGAAUGGUGUGAACCCAGGAGGCGGAGCUUGCAGUGAGCUGAGAUCACGCCACUGCAUUCCAGCCUGGGUGACAGAGCGAGACUCCAUCUCAAAAAAAAAAGGCUUUUUUCUGAAAUGACACUCUUCUACAAAAGUGCUUUCAUUUCUUCACCAAGUCUCUGCUAUUAUCUGACACCUGUCCGUCCCACCUUGGAUAGUACAAAAGUGACAAGAGGAUGCUAAAAGUUUUAAAGGGGCUGUUGGAAAAUACGAGCUGGGAAACAUGUAGAGCUAAAUAUGAGCUCAGGUCAAUAUUAAAAUUGGAAGUAGGUCACAGAAUCCCAACCCCACAUAUUUGGAUCCAGCCCUUGGUGAGUGGGCCUUGGACUGUACUUCACAAUCCCAUCUUCACCUGCAGUUGUCCGGCCAACAUGGCCCCUUCCCGCCUGCCCUUUCCUAACCACCUCCACUCUCUCUAGUGAAGACGCUGAGCUCGCAGCCAUGCUGGUUGCACACUGCCAUUUUCUACAGGUUCUCAAGUGCAUGGGCUGCCAAGAGGGUUGGGUGUUUACAUUUAUUUUUAAUAGAAAUGGGGUCGUACCCGGGGCAUCUCUUUUCUUCAUACUGCAAUGUUGCUAGAUACACAAUCAGACACCAGAGGGUUGGGCAUUCUUGCAAUACCUUAACAGUGCUGAAACCUGCAGCAUGGUACUAAGGAAGUUAAAGUUAGAAUGUAACCACUUUAUUUAAAAGGUUUUUUUCUUUAAUUUAAAUGAAAUGGGGUUGAAGUGAACAUGAUCUUGUUGACCAUGUUCGUGAAUUAUAGAUGCAACAUGCAUUGGUAGAAUCGUGUGAUGGUCUUUUGUGAUACUUAAUUUUUACAUAUCCCAGUCUCUGUAUGUAUCUGCACAAAGAAAAAACAAACUCCUGCUUUGCUCUUAUUGAAGGGUUCCCAGGACUGCGUGUCUGCUCCUGAGCUCUGUUUUAAGUAUGUGUAUCCUUUGCUUGUAUUUUGUAUUAAAAAAGUAAGAAAAAGAACCCUUUAUUGUUGAGCAUGUUGGCAUUGUCCCGUUUAUUUUUUUCUCUUUUUGGGACAUAUGAAGCAAGUUAUUCUUUUUCUGUAUCUUUUUUU